rnacentral:rRNA from 1 species
CCUACGGGGGGCAGCAGUGAGGAAUAUUGGUCAAUGGACGAGAGUCUGAACCAGCGAAGUCGCGUGAAGGAUGACUGCCCUCUGGGUUGUAAACUUCUUUUAUAAAGGAAUAAAACGAGGCACGUGUGCCUUUUUGCAUGUACUUUAUGAAUAAGGAUCGGCUAACUCCGUGCCAGCAGCCGCGGUAAUACGGAGGAUCCGAGCGUUAUCCGGAUUUAGUGGGUUUAAAGGGAGCGUAGAUGGGUUGUUAAGUCAGUUGUGAAAGUUUGCGGCUCAACCGUAAAAUUGCAAUUGAUACUGGCAGUCUGGAGUACAGGUGAGGUAGGCGGAAUUCGUGGUGUAGCGGUGAAAUGCUUAGAUAUCACGAAGAACCCCGAUUGCGAAGGCAGCUUACUAAACUGUGACUGACAUUGAUGCUCGAAAGUGUGGGUAUCAAACAGGAUUAGAUACCCGAGUAGUC